UCGGACGUGGUGCACGGUGCACGUCGGUGUCACAUGCAGUGGCAGGUACCUGAUGUCUAAACCGAAGUCCGGGGUUCGACUCCCCGCGUCCGAA